rnacentral:misc_RNA from 1 species
GUGAAUCAUCGAAUCUUUGAACGCACAUUGCGCCCGCCAGUAUUCUGGCGGGCAUGCCUGUCCGAGCGUCAUUUCAACCCUCGAACCCCUCCGGGGGGUCGGCGUUGGGGAUCGGCCCUUCACGGGGCCGGCCCCGAAAUACAGUGGCGGUCUCGCCGCAGCCUCUCCUGCGCAGUAGUUUGCACACUCGCAUCGGGAGCGCGGCGCGUCCAUUGCCGUAAAACACCCAACUUUCUGAAAUGUUGACCUCGGAUCAGGUAGGAAUACCCGCUGAACUUAAGCAUAUCAAUAAGCGGAGGA